UACGUAGGCAGCGAGCGUUGUUCGGAAUUACUGGGCGUAAAGAGUGUGUAGGCGGUGCUCUAAGUUCGGUGUGAAAUCUCCUGGCUCAACUGGGAGGGUGCGCCGGAAACUGGAGUGCUUGAGCGUGGGAGAGGAAAGCGGAAUUCCUGGUGUAGCGGUGAAAUGCGUAGAUAUCAGGAAGAACACCCGUGGCGAAGGCGGCUCUCUGGGACGGUACUGACGCUGAGACGCGAAAGCGUGGGGAGCGAACAGG
rnacentral:rRNA from 1 species